rnacentral:rRNA from 1 species
GAUGAACGCUGGCGGCGUGCCUAAUACAUGCAAGUCGAGCGAAUGGAUUAAGAGCUUGCUCUUAUGAAGUUAGCGGCGGACGGGUGAGUAACACGUGGGUAACCUGCCCAUAAGACUGGGAUAACUCCGGGAAACCGGGGCUAAUACCGGAUAACAUUUUGAACCGCAUGGUUCGAAAUUGAAAGGCGGCUUCGGCUGUCACUUAUGGAUGGACCCGCGUCGCGUUAGCUAGUUGGUGAGGUAACGGCUCACCAAGGCAACGAUGCGUAGCCGGCCUGAGAGGGUGAUCGGCCACACUGGGACUGAGACACGGCCCAGACGCCUACGGGAGGCAGCAGUAGGGAAUCUUCCGCAAUGGACGAAAGUCUGACGGAGCAACGCCGCGUGAGUGAUGAAGGCUUUCGGGUCGUAAAACUCUGUUGUUAGGGAAGAACAAGUGCUAGUUGAAUAAGCUGACACCUUGACGGUACCUAACCAGAAAGCCACGGCUAACUACGUGCCAGCAGCCGCAGUAA